rnacentral:rRNA from 1 species
UACGGAGGGUGCAAGCGUUACUCGGAAUCACUGGGCGUAAAGGACGCGUAGGCGGGUUGGUAAGUCAGGUGUGAAAUCCUACAGCUCAACUGUAGAACUGCACUUGAAACUACCAACCUAGAGUAUGGGAGGGGCAGAUGGAAUUAGUGGUGUAGGGGUAAAAUCCGUAGAUAUCACUAGGAAUACCUAAAGCGAAGGCGAUCUGCUGGAACAUUACUGACGCUAAGGCGUGAAAGCGUGGGGAGCAAACGGG